UACGAAGGGUGCAAGCGUUACUCGGAAUUACUGGGCGUAAAGCGUGCGUAGGUGGUGAGUUAAGUCUGUCGUGAAAGCCCCCGGGCUCAACCUGGGAAUGGCGAUGGAUACUGGCUCGCUAGAGUGCGGUAGAGGAGAGUGGAAUUCCCGGUGUAGCGGUGAAAUGCGCAGAUAUCGGGAGGAACACCAAUGGCGAAGGCAGCUCGCUGGGACGGUA
rnacentral:rRNA from 1 species